CUAGACAAGGCUCAGGUUGUCCCAUUGUUACCCAAGGACCAGAGAGCCACAACACCGAUCUGGCAUCAGGGAGAAAGAAUGCACAGGGGACAUCUCUAGAACAUAUUUCAGUACGGUUUCAGGAAUGUGACUCGCAGACUGCCCACAUCUGCUCCACCAUGCUUCAGGGAAUCCAGCCUGCCCUGCUCCCUUCUCCUCUUACCAGCCAAGUACAAGAAGUAGAGAACAGUUCGGACUCCAACACUGUCCAGGGAGAUCCAGCCCCUGUUGAGGUAAGAUUUAAAGGCACUCGUUUGAGGCAUG
rnacentral:lncRNA from 13 species